UACAGAGGUCUCAAGCGUUGUUCGGAUUCAUUGGGCGUAAAGGGUGCGUAGGUGGCGCCGUAAGUGGGGUGUGAAAUCUCGGGGCUUAACUCCGAAACUGCAUUCGAUACUACCGUGCUUGAGGGCUGGAGAGGAGACUGGAAUUUACGGUGUAGCGGUGAAAUGCGUAGAUAUCGUAAGGAAGACCGUGGCGAAGGCGGGUCUCUGGACAGUCCUGACGCUGAGGCACGAAGGCCAGGGGAGCAAACG
rnacentral:rRNA from 1 species